AGAGUUUGAUCCUGGCUCAGGAUGAACGCUAGCGACAGGCUUAACACAUGCAAGUCGAGGGGCAGCACAGGUAGCAAUACCGGGUGGCGACCGGCGCACGGGUGAGUAACGCGUAUGCAACUUGCCUAUCAGAGGGGGAUAACCCGGCGAAAGUCGGACUAAUACCGCAUGAAGCAGGGAUCCCGCAUGGGAAUAUUUGCUAAAGAUUCAUCGCUGAUAGAUAGGCAUGCGUUCCAUUAGGCAGUUGGCGGGGUAACGGCCCACCAAACCGACGAUGGAUAGGGGUUCUGAGAGGAAGGUCCCCCACAUUGGUACUGAGACACGGACCAAACUCCUACGGGAGGCAGCAGUGAGGAAUAUUGGUCAAUGGCCGAGAGGCUGAACCAGCCAAGUCGCGUGAGGGAUGAAGGUUCUAUGGAUCGUAAACCUCUUUUAUAAGGGAAUAAAGUGCGGGACGUGUCCCGUUUUGUAUGUACCUUAUGAAUAAGGAUCGGCUAACUCCGUGCCAGCAGCCGCGGUAAUACGGAGGAUCCGAGCGUUAUCCGGAUUUAUUGGGUUUAAAGGGUGCGUAGGCGGCCUUUUAAGUCAGCGGUGAAAGUCUGUGGCUCAACCAUAGAAUUGCCGUUGAAACUGGGGGGCUUGAGUAUGUUUGAGGCAGGCGGAAUGCGUGGUGUAGCGGUGAAAUGCAUAGAUAUCACGCAGAACUCCGAUUGCGAAGGCAGCUUACUAAACCAUAACUGACACUGAAGCACGAAAGCGUGGGGAUCAAACAGGAUUAGAUACCCUGGUAGUCCACGCAGUAAACGAUGAUCACUAGCUGUUUGCGAUACACUGUAAGCGGCACAGCGAAAGCGUUAAGUGAUCCACCUGGGGAGUACGCCGGCAACGGUGAAACUCAAAGGAAUUGACGGGGGCCCGCACAAGCGGAGGAACAUGUGGUUUAAUUCGAUGAUACGCGAGGAACCUUACCCGGGUUUGAACGCAUUCGGACCGAGGUGGAAACACCUUUUCUAGCAAUAGCCGUUUGCGAGGUGCUGCAUGGUUGUCGUCAGCUCGUGCCGUGAGGUGUCGGCUUAAGUGCCAUAACGAGCGCAACCCUUGCCACUAGUUACUAACAGGUAAAGCUGAGGACUCUGGUGGGACUGCCAGCGUAAGCUGCGAGGAAGGCGGGGAUGACGUCAAAUCAGCACGGCCCUUACAUCCGGGGCGACACACGUGUUACAAUGGCGUGGACAAAGGGAAGCCACCUGGCGACAGGGAGCGAAUCCCCAAACCACGUCUCAGUUCGGAUCGGAGUCUGCAACCCGACUCCGUGAAGCUGGAUUCGCUAGUAAUCGCGCAUCAGCCAUGGCGCGGUGAAUACGUUCCCGGGCCUUGUACACACCGCCCGUCAAGCCAUGGGAGCCGGGGGUACCUGAAGUCCGUAACCGCGAGGAUCGGCCUAGGGUAAAACUGGUGACUGGGGCUAAGUCGUAACAAGGUAGCCGUACCGGAAGGUGCGGCUG
rnacentral:rRNA from 1 species